rnacentral:rRNA from 1 species
AUUGAACGCUGGCGGCAGGCCUAACACAUGCAAGUCGAACGAGUGGCGGACGGGUGAGUAAUGUCUGGGAAACUGCCUGACGGAGGGGGAAAACUACGGGAACCGGUAGCUAAUACUGCAUAACAUCAGAUGUGCCCAGAUGGGAUUAGCUGGUUGGUGGGGGAACGGCUCACCAAGGCGAAGAUCCCUAGCUGGGCUGAGAGGAUGACCAGCCACACUGGAACUGAGACACGGUCCAGACUCCUACGGGAGGCAGCAGUAGGGAAUAUUGCACAAUGGGCGAAAGCCUGAUGCAGCCAUGCCGCGUGAAUGAAGAAGGCCUUCGGGUUGUAAAGUACUUUCAGCGGGGAGGCGUUACCCGCAGAAGAAGCAACGGCUAACUCCGUGCCAGCAGCCGCGGUAAUUC